GAUGAACGCUGGCGGCGUGCCUAAUACAUGCAAGUCGAGCGAACAGACGAGGUGCUUGCUCCUCUGACGUUACCGGCGGACGUGUGAGUAACACGUGGAUAACCUACCUAUAAGACUGGGAUAACUUCGGGAAACCGGAUCUAAUACCGGAUAAUAUAUUCAUCCGCAUGGUUCAAUAGUGAAAGACGGUUUUGCUGUCACUUAUAGAUGGAUCCGCGCCGCGUUAGCUAGUUGUUAGGGUAACGGCUUACCAAGGCGACGAUGCGUAGCCGACCUGAGAGGGUGAUAGGCAAAGCGGGAGCUGAGAAACGGAACAGGGACGAACGGGGGGCAGCAGUAGGGAAGCGGGCGGAAGGGGCGAAAGACGGACGAAGCAAGGGAGCGUGAGUGAUGAAGGUCUUGGGAUCGAAAAAGGCUGUUGUUAGGGAAGAAGAAAUGAGUAAGGAAGUAUGAAGGACUGGAGGGAACCGAAGAAGAAGGACAGGGCAAACAAGGG
rnacentral:rRNA from 1 species